AAAAGCGUAAAACAAUGGGGUGCAAGCAGUAAAUAGAUGGGGUAUGCAUGAGUAAUUGGUAGUGUCCAGAUCUUGGCCCAUUAAAACAUACAAAAUGACAAAAAAAAAACAAAAAAACAAAAAUAAAUAAACAGAUGUAGUGUAGCAAAGCAAAUGGAGGUGUAAUCCUUAGGGUCUAAGGAUUCAAACCCAAUAAGCAAAAAAUAUAAUAUAAAAAGAAACAUAUCAAACUCUCCUGAACGUAUGAUGAAGAUCAGAUGGUCCCGAUCCAACUUCAGGAUGCAACC
rnacentral:lncRNA from 1 species